GGAGAGGUGGCUGAGUGGUCGAAAGCGGCAGAUUGCUAAUCUGUUGUAGGAACAGUAAUGCCCUACCGAGGGUUCGAAUCCCUCUCUCUCCG
rnacentral:tRNA from 1 species